UUGGAACUGUAAUAGCCCGGAUUUCAGUUUAGGGAGGAAGGAAGGAAUCAUCGCAUUCCGCCCCAGAGGCGUCCGGCUGAAUCCCAAGGAGCCAAAGCUUCAAUGCCAGUGUUCUAGGGGAAGGCGAUGGCUCCACGUAAUGAGUUUACCUGGUUAACGUCCCACAGCCGGUUCUGAGCUCUUUCCUGGGCUUUCUCUCAUAAUGCUGCUUGUUGUGGAAAACCUUAAUUCCUGUAUCAGGUGUUUUUUGUUUGUUUUACACUUAAUUACACAUGGAUUUUUCAUACUAAAUGCUGAAGGCAUUAAAGACCGCAAGCUCCCGGAUGUGUGGAUUCUUACUUCUCAUGCCCCACUCCUGAAUGCCUCCUGCUUCGGGACACGUGAACGUAAGGAGGGCCCACCAACUGACCCUCACCACCCGCUCCAACUCUGACCCCCUACGAGCCCAGGCCGACGAAGGAGCCCCAUCCUACCACAGUGCGGAAACACGGACACAGGCUGGGAGACCUUCACCACCAACCAACUUGCAUCUUACCACGCUCUCAGCUUCACUGAUGAAGUUAGCAGUCAAGCUCGAGAAGAUUUAAAGACCCCUAGUCAAUGCCAUCAAGUCAGACAGCAUGAUCGGGGACUCACCCUAUCCAUCUAUGAAGCCCACACAGAGUGACCUCCCUAGGAGACAGACAGCCCGACCACCCGUCUGCGAUGCUGGCGGGACCAAGGGGAGUCUUGAAGGGAAACGUGUGACUCACUACCCAUCGAGGACUCACCCAGAGAGGAGGAGGGCUGUCUUGGGUGGGCCUAACAUCCUGCCACAGUCUGCAGGACUCUGUCAGUGCCUGCGUUCUGUGCAGUUGACACUCAAUAAGUGGCGCCCCCCUCCAAUCUCUUCAUUUUGAAAAAAAUUCCAGCUCUAAAAAUGUUAAAAGAAUAAUACAAUGAACCCCUGUACAUCCUUUACCUAGGUCACCAAUUAUUAAAAUAUUACAUUUGCUUUCUCCCAAUACUUUUUCUUCUGAUUCAUUGUAAAAAGUACAAAUAUCACGACAUUUUAUCCCUAAAUACUUCACACUUAAAUAUUUCCCUAAAUAUUUCCUAUGAGGUAGAAUAUAUUCCCAUAUAACCACAAUACAUCCAGGAAAUUAAACACUAAAAAAAAAAUUAUCUGACAGCUCAUAUUCAAAUUUCCCCAGCUAUCGUGUCUUUGUAAUUUUUAAGAUUGAGAUAUAAUCCAUAUAUAAAAUUCACUCUUUUAAAGCAUACAUUUCAGAUUUUUUUUAAUGUUCCCAAAGUUGUAUAACCAUUACCCUUAUCUAAUUCCAGAAUAUUUUCAUCAUCCCAGAAAGAAACCCAGAAGCUCAUCCACAGUCACUCCCUACUAGCCUCUGCCCCAGCCCCUGGCCCUCAUCAUUCUACCUUCUGCCUCUGUGGACUUGUCUAUUCUGGAAACGUCAUAGAAAUGGAAUCAUAAAAUCUGUGGGCUUUUGUGUCUGGCUUCUUUUCCUUGUAUAAUGUUUUUAAGGUUCAUUCAUGUAGCACAUUGGUGCUUCACUCCUUUUUCUGACUGAAUUAUAUCACGUUGUAUGGAAAUACCACAUCUGUCCAUUCCUCCGCUGAUGUACAUCUGGGUUGUUUCAUAGCUCUUUUACAAGCCAGGAUCCACUCAAAGACUAUACAUGGCACUGAAUUUUCAUGUCUCUAGUCCUUUCAUCUAAAUUCUAGAACAUUAAUCUACAUUCUAAAACAUUCUUCCCAUCUUUUACAACAGUAAAAUUUUUGAAGAGGACAGUUUGGUUGUGUUAGAGAAUGUCCUUAUGGAUUUGUCUGUUUGUUUCCUAUAAUUUGAUUCAGCUUAGACAAUUUUGACAGUAAUAUCACCUGGGGAGUUUGUAUACUUCCUAUUGCAUUACAUCAGAAGGCAUAUAAUGUCGGUUUGCCUCAUAACUGGUGAUGCUAAAUGUGGUCAUUUGAUUAGAUAAUAUUUACCAGAUCUCCCCAGAAGAUAAGCUUUUUUCUUUGUAUACUAUUAGAAGAAGUAAUAUAAGUAAUCUUUAAGACUGUGUGAAUAUCUUGUUUCCAAACAACCUUUAACAAAAGGUUUUAGACUCCAAUUAUGAUCCUUCCCUGAAUCCAUUGUUAUAAUGGUGUUAUAAAACAGUAAUUUUUUAACUUUUCUAACUCUAUAAUUCCUUCCACUUACAGUUGCUGGCGUUUUGUCAAAAAAAAAAGCUUACCUGCUUGAGUUCACCUUUUUUAAUGACCACUGUGAACUCAUGGAUUUUUUUUUACUUACUAUGUUAUAUAGUCAACAUUGCUGUCAGUAGUUUUUCUGAUGCCCAAACUGUUCCAAAUUUGAAAAGUGGGAGACAGUUUGGGCCAGCUCCAUUUGUCAUGUUCCUAUCAGUUUUUAAGUAUCUCAUUACUUUGUGACACAAUAAAAUGUCCCAUAUGCA